AGAUGACAACUAAUUUGUCCCUGCCAGGGAGUGUAGCAAUGCGAAUGAGGGUAUAUUUAGCAAAUCCUAAGGCCCAUUAACCCUUUCAAAAAUGGCCAAAAGUAACCAAGAGAAAAAAGAUGGAGUAAGUGCAGUAAUAGGGGCGGUGCAGGCCACAGGCCCGACCCAAAUCUACUAUUACUUGAGAAGACCCAUUCUAUUCCAAAUGACGUUGCUUCAGCUGACUGCUUGAAGACUGCCUGCCAAUCGUUGGUGUUGGUGAUCGCGUGCCACGGAAAGUAACAAUUUUAAUGAUACUAGAAAGGACCUUAGAGCACCAUGUUCCAAAAUGUUAGAAAGCUGCAAUCCCUUGUUAAACCUUGAGCUAAAUCGUAUUCCUCUGAUUACUCUUCCACGAAUGUGCGCCCUUCUUCGAAUCAGGUACCAAUUCGUUACCAAAACAAAGCAACAAACGCGAUUCCGACGACAUUCUGAGCAUAGGUUUGGCCAAGAAAUUUCACGAAAUUGUGUUACAGCUAAAUAGUUCUUUUCUAAUGGAGAAUACAGCUGUUUGAAUGUGCUGUUCUUCACCAACACACUUCUCACACGGUAACAGUGCACACCGACUCGCUCUGCGGUCUGCGGCUUAACUUAGUUUCAGAUUAUGUUUCGCUUUUGGUUUAGAAUUCUGCAGGUUUCCUUCCCUCAGCUUAUUUGCAUUCUAGAAUAACCUUUUGAUUCCAAAUUUCCAUGAGAUGAUGAAUGAAUUUAGUACCAGAAGCAUCAUCAAAAACAGUUUCUUCAAGCUUGCUUUGUAAAGGUCAGUGACUUCACUGUUAUGAAUGACACUAACUGAACCGAAAUGGUAACCCGAAACACAAGGUUGGAUGCCUUUCAAUAUGAAUCAACCUUCAAUUGGGUAAAGAUCAAGACCGACUUAAAGUUUCGGGCAAUCGACAUAGUUUUGUAAAGUUUUGGUAAUGAUACCGAAGCGGGCGACGGUAUGAAGAACAUGGAGACCGAACCAGCGCCCUUUGACCGUAUUGUUGAAGAUCAUAGAGAUCUAGAUACAUACGCAAGAAAUUUGCAGAAUCACCAUAGAUGAGAUGACGACGAUGUCGUAUUCAUCACGAGGCUUUCUACUUCGUCGCUAACGAUGAGGUUUUGGAAAGGGGUGUGUGUUUGUAAAUAACAGUCUGAGCCAAAUCCAUUUGUGAGGCCAAUAGAGUCAGAUUGGGUUCGCCAUUAGUCACAUGAUUGACGAUGGCAGUUAACAUAGUGAGGUCAAAACCUCCUAUCAUAGAAAUUCUACUUGGGUCUCUUUGUUGGAGCAAUAGGCAUAAUUCUGGAACAGGAUUGUCAUUCACCAAUCGCGUGCCAGGUGUAUGAUUAAAUACUUCACCCAAAUUCUGUUUUUUAAUUUUUUCCUUAUUCUAUUGGGUUUGAUUUCCUUUACGAUGCUUGUUUACGGUUUCAUUGUUUUAGAUCUUUGACGGAUUCUUAUAAUAAUCAUGAUUCCUCAAUCGGGUUUAGUAAGGGUCGUGGUAGUGGUUAUUUGAGUUUUAUGGUGAAUUUGCUCGGGAAUCUAUUUAUGAAUAUGGUUUUGUAAUGAAUUCAAGUCUAAGUGUGAAUGAAUUUUCUUCUUGUGAUUUUGAGGUCGAGUUUCGGUAUUGGUGAAAUACUGAAUUUUCUAUGGUUUGUGUUCAUGGCGAGACUUGAAUUCCCACGGUAAACGUCCAUACAAAACGAAAAGCAAGGAAAAAUCAAGCAUACAAAGAUAGAUCUAGCAAACAAUUGAGAAUGCACAAGCAAGCAAGAAUUCAUGAAAUGAUACAAUUUAAGGCUUACCGAUCGGAGACCCUCUGAUGGUUCUUCAAUGGCGGCGCAAACCCAAUACGGUACUUCCAUGGAAAAGGACAUAGUUUGGCCUUGAAGAAAUAUGAAGCAAGAAGUGUAUGACCAUAAAGAUGAUGAAAAAAGAUGGAUUGUUAAUGCUAGAAUCACAUGUUAUUUCAUUAGAGUAUUUCUCACUAAAAAAUGUACAUGGCAUUCAUAAGAAUCACUUUUACACUCUCCAUACAUGUUUCCUUAUAUGAA